rnacentral:misc_RNA from 1 species
UUCACUAGCUGCUCCAUUUCCUGCAUCUUGUGCAUCUGGAGUUUGGCUACAGUGUUAUGUCGAGGAUAAUUUUUCAAGCCCUCUAUUGGCCCAACUUUGUGCUCCUGACAGAAAUCAAUCAGAUCCUUCAUGCUGUUAACAACCUCAGAGAUCUGCUCUGUAAACACCUGACAUAUCUUUUGGAAAAACCCAAAUCAUUUAGAGACUGUAACUCCAAAGCCUUUGCAAGCUGACGCCCAGCAGUCAGGACCAUAUUGCUGUUUGUUUGCAAGUC